rnacentral:rRNA from 1 species
AGAGUUUGAUCAUGGCUCAGGACGAACGCUGGCGGCGUGCCUAACACAUGCAAGUCGAACGGGACCGGGGGCAACUCCGGUUCAGUGGCGAACGGGUGCGUAACACGUGAGGAACCUGACCAUCGGCGGGGGAUAGCCGGCCCAACGGCCGGGUAAUACCGCGUACGACCUUCGGGGGGCAUCCCCUGGAGGUGAAAGCAGCAAUGCACCGAUGGAGGGCCUCGCGACCUAUCAGCUAGUUGGUGAGGUAACGGCCCACCAAGGCGAUGACGGGUAGCUGGUCUGAGAGGAUGGCCAGCCACAUUGGGACUGAGAGACGGCCCAGACUCCUACGGGAGGCAGCAGUGGGGAAUCUUGCGCAAUGGCCGCAAGGCUGACGCAGCGACGCCGCGUGGGGGAGGAAGGGCUUCGGCUCGUAAACCCCUGUUGCCCGGGACGAACAACUGGUUUCAGCCAGUCUGACGGUACCGGGUGAGGAAGCACCGGCUAACUCCGUGCCAGCAGCCGCGGUAAUACGGAGGGUGCGAGCGUUGUCCGGAAUCACUGGGCGUAAAGGGCGCGUAGGCGGCUCGGUAAGCGUGCGGUGAAAGCCCGGGGCUCAACCCCGGGUCGGCCGUGCGAACUGUCGAGCUGGAGCACUGUAGAGGCGGGUGGAAUUCCGGGUGUAGCGGUGGAAUGCGUAGAGAUCCGGAAGAACACCGGUGGCGAAGGCGGCCCGCUGGGCAGUGGCUGACGCUGAUGCGCGACAGCGUGGGGAGCAAACAGGAUUAGAUACCCUAGUAGUCC